CAGCAUCAGAGAACCGGAGCAUCAGUUUUCAACCCACGCAGCUGGAUAACUGAAAUGAUGAAUCGUUGCGUUGAAUCUCAUCAGGUCCUUCUGGGUCAGAAAAAAUUUGUCAAGAUAACUGCAGUCAACAUCAGAAGGAAAAAUCGGCCAAGCGACACAACAGGAUAGGAUGUACAGUACACAGUGAAUGGGAAAUUAUACCUUUCUGACAAUAUGAAUCCUGCAUCCUGCUGACUCAAACUGGGCACAAGAAUUGCAUGGUUUGUUCGGAGGACAAAGUUCCCAAAGGGACUGUCUGAGUGAGUCGAUGAACAUGAGCAUUACAGAGGAAAAACGAGACGAUGGAUGGAUGAAAAGAUGGAUGGCUGCGUGGAAUAGCUCUAGGGCUUUUCUGAGAGGAAACAUUACUGUAACAUGAUCCAGCAAGAAGCACAUACAAAGGUAUUUCACUCAAAAAUGUCAUAAUACUUAUGUUGCUAGAAACCUGUAUGUUCAGUAUUCUGUAGAACACAAGAAUAUACUGUUUUGACAAUACAUAGCAAACAAACACAUUAAAGCACCAUGACAGGAUUAUAAAAGUAGUCGAUUUACUCAUGAGCUGUGUUUCAAGUGUUCUAAAGCCAUAUUAUAACAUUAAGUCAAUAAAAUACAGAAAUUCAAGUCAUUAUUUGAUGAUAAUCUUGGACUUUCUGGUGACUAAAUGACGGAAUUGACCAAACUUUUCCUUCUUAACUAAAUGAAUGUGUUAAUUCUAAACCAGAAUGUGUUAGAUUAUGAGUAGUUCUACUGUUUUAAUUGGAUAAGUUAAAUAUGUAAAUGAUUCAGCUACGUCCCUCACACACACAUGCACAAAAUGAAUAAUAAACUAUUUGAAUCAUACUUCUGUACAUAAUGUGCCGUUGCUUCUGCAUUAUUCACCAUUACUUCAAACUGUCAUUUUUUUUAAUGGAGAAAAACUACAACUGAAGCACAGAGAGAGAGGGAGAUCUAUUCUUACACAAUGACUCAGCACAUCCAGUCUUACACACACACACUGACACUAUACUGUGCUUGUACAUUACAAUUUCUCUUUCUUACUUUGUAUGUUUUUGUUCAUCUCUUGGAAUGGUUUUGGUGUCAGGUUUGUGAGAAUUGCUCUAAAAGCUUUUCAGGGAAUUCAU